rnacentral:rRNA from 1 species
AGGACGAACGCUGGCGGCGUGCUUAACACAUGCAAGUGGAGCGACGAACCAGGCUUCGGCCUGGGGCAGAGCCGCGAACGGGUGAGUAACACGUGGGUAACCUGCCCUGAUGAUUGGGACAACCCGAGGAAACUCGGGCUAAUACCAAAUGUGCCCUCUGGCCUCAAGGCCUCUGGGGAAAGGAGCUUCGGCCUCCGCAUUGGGAUGGGCCCGCGGCCCAUUAGCUUGUUGGUGAGGUAACGGCUCACCAAGGCUACGAUGGGUAGCUGGUCUGAGAGGACGAUCAGCCACACUGGGACUGAGACACGGCCCAGACUCCUACGGGAGGCAGCAGUGGGGAAUAUUGCGCAAUGGGCGAAAGCCUGACGCAGCGACGCCGCGUGGGGAUGAAGGCCUUCGGGUUGUAAACCCUUUCGGCAGGGACGAAGCGAAAGUGACGGUACCUGCAAAGAAGCGCCGGCUAACUACGUGCCAGCAGCCGC